rnacentral:rRNA from 1 species
UGCUUUUCCUAAAGACUAAGCCAUGCAUGUCUUCGAAUAAGAGGUAGCAAUUCUCUCUGAAUCUGCGAACGGCUCCGCAAACCAGUUGUAAACAUAGGCAUGUCCCGCCCUUGGUUGGCCCUUUCGGGGGCUGGCCAGGGGCAAAUAUAUGGAUACCCGUGGUAAUUCUGAGGCUAAUACAUGACAAUGCGACCCUGCCAUCGGGCUGCUGGUGCCUCUCGGGGCGCUGGCGGUCUGGUGGCGGGGGACGCGCGAGACUAGGCUGGGUAAUUCGGGAAAGAACGCGCGUUCAGACCACCGUUAAGGGCCUUGCGUAGUGGGGUGCGGCUUGCCGUGCUUCGCUUGCUUGGCCUGGUGGCUCCUGCUUCGUGCUUCUGACCUAUCAACUAGAUGGCAGCGUACGGGACAUGCCAUGGUGACAACGGGUACAGAGGAUCAGGGUUCGAUCCUGGAGAGUGGGCCUGAGAGAUUGCUCAUACUUCUAAGGAAGGCAGCAGGCGCGCAACGUUCCCAAUGGACAACGUCUGAGGGCGUUAGGGGACAUAUGAAUGGCUGCACUAGUUGUGGCCAAUUCAAAUGGGUUUGUCGUAAACAGACUC